GAGCCAGUUUUUUCGGCAAAGAACAACGAAAAACACAAGUCAGUCUACGGCCAGAUGAGGAGCAUUGUGAAGCAUCAUCAGCUCAUACUGAGGUCAGAUUAUGGAAAUAUUCAAGAAGAAGCUAGUUUCAUUCACAAACUACACUAAAAACAGUGGCAUUCUCGUAAACCUGCAACACCAUUUUACCUCCAUUUAAAUGCAUUAUAAAUAUCGAUUGUAAUACAAUUCAUAUCGAUGGCUAAAUUGUGAGACCACGUGUCUCCGGCGAAUACGACGUUGCAGACUCCAUGUCAUACUUUAUUUUCUCCCUGGAAAACUACUCCACGCAAUUUUUUCAAAACAUCCUUGAUAUAUCAUCUUAUUCAGUGGAAUAUUCAAUAAAAAUUUGAAACUGCAAAGUUGACUUGUUCUGCUUGAAAAAAAUAAACUAUAGAGGCGGAGAUUUGAGACAUCGCAAUGGAGAUACGUGUCGCUUUCUAGCCAUCAAAUCGAGGAGACAUAGUGAUGAUAAUUUGCGAGGAUUGUCACUGCCUAAAAGUUGAAAAAAGAAGAAAACAUUUUCUGCAUAGUACGAAACAAAUUCCUUAAAAUCUUCAAUGGAAUCUACAGAAACGAUCUCUAGUAAAAAAUUGAAUUGCCAAGUUAAAUGGUAAUAGCUAUUGCGGCUUGGUUCCUUCCUGCUUUACGGUCUAAUUAAAAGUAGCAGUGAAGAUUUUAAAUGGGAUGAGAAUAUAUUCAUUGCAAGUAGAAUUUAUGAAACUGUUAUCCGUUUGAUUUGAACAAUUAAGAUUUUAAGGGCACACACGUCGAGAGAACUUUCAGCCCUUUUACCUCUUCCAGAUUUUGUGACGAGUAUUCAGUUUUCUGUCGAGCCAUGCUGCUGGUUCGUGGGACCUUCUCUUCGAUUUUCAUCGCAUCAACUGUCAUGCUCACAUCUUCCAUGAAGAGCAACCCGGAGCUGAUUCCUUUCAUCUUAUCUCAAAUAAUUUAUUCCACUUUGGACGUCUUCCUUUUCUGCUAUUUUGGAGAAAUGUUCAUUCAAAAUAGCCAAAAAGUAAGUUCCGAGCUUUAUGCCACGAAUUGGUACAAUUUCUCUCGGAGAAGCAUUCAAUUAAUGCGCAUCGUACACUUACGGGCUCAAAAACCAGCUCGCCUCACCCUGUUCAAAAGAUUCAUCGUCGUUGGUAUCCACUUGAUGGUUCAGAUAGUACAAGCUUCUUACUCAAUUUGCACGAUACUGAUCGAGAAGAAUUUUGUCUCUAGCAUGACACCAGUUUAA
rnacentral:lncRNA from 1 species